GACAGAGGAUGCAAGCGUUAUCCGGAAUGAUUGGGCGUAAAGCGCACGGUAGGCGGCAUUGCAAGUCGGGAUGGUGAAAUCCCUCGGCUUAACCAAGGAAGUGCAUCCGAAACUGCUAUGCUUGAGUACUUAAGAGGAUCGCGGAAUUCCCGGUGUAGAGGUGAAAUUCGUGGAUAUCGGGAGGAACACCAGUGGCGAAGGCGGCGAUCUGGGAAGAUACUGACGCUGAGGUGCGAAAGCGUGGGGAGCAAACA
rnacentral:rRNA from 1 species